UACGUAGGGUGCAAGCGUUGUCCGGAAUUAUUGGGCGUAAAGAGCUCGUAGGCGGUCUGUCGCGUCUGCUGUGAAAACUCGGGGCUUAACCCCGGGCCUGCAGUGGGUACGGGCAGACUAGAGUGCGGUAGGGGAGACUGGAAUUCCUGGUGUAGCGGUGAAAUGCGCAGAUAUCAGGAGGAACACCGGUGGCGAAGGCGGGUCUCUGGGCCGGUACCGACGCUGAGGAGCGAAAGCGUGGGGAGCGAACAGG
rnacentral:rRNA from 1 species